GACGAACGCUGGCGGCGUGCUUAACACAUGCAAGUCGAACGGUAAGGCCCUUCGGGGUACACGAGUGGCGAACGGGUGAGUAACACGUGGGUGAUCUGCCCUGCACUUCGGGAUAAGCCUGGGAAACUGGGUCUAAUACCGGAUAGGACUCCUGGCUUCAUGGUUGGGGGUGGAAAGCUUUUGCGGUGUGGGAUGGACCCGCUGCCUAUCAGCUUGUUGGUGGGGUAAAGGCCUACGAAGGCGACGAUGGGUAGCCGGGCUGAGAGGGUGACCGGUCACACUUGGAAUGAUGUACGGGCCAGACUCCUACGGGAGGCAGCAGUGGGGAAUAUUGAACAAUGGGCGCAAGCCUGAUGCAGCGACGCCGCGUGAGGGAUGACGGCCUUCGGGUUGUAAACCUCUUUCAGCUAUGACGAAGCGCAAGUGACGGUAGUAGCAGAAGAAGGACCGGCCAACUACGUGCCAGCAGCCGCCGUAA
rnacentral:rRNA from 1 species